AUGAAACGCUGCAUAUUGGAGAGCUUGGAUAGGGUUGAGAAAUUGUGUGGCAAUUCAACUCAUCCUCUUCUUCACAAAACUCAAAUCCGGUUUGCAAUCGGCGACGACAUUCUUCUUCUCAACGCUGAUCCGCUUCGCCACCGUGGUUCCAACCCAUACCUUUUUCAUCUCACCUCCGAAUCCGCACUUUCGUCGUGGUUCAAACUCAGUCACAAUCUCAGUGCUGUUUGA